ensembl:lncRNA
AAACAAUAUAAUUAUAACAUAUAUUUUUAUUUUACUUAUUUUAGGUCUGUGAAGCCAAACUUGAUGCUCGGGAUUUAUUUUUGUCAGUGGAGUCAAAUGGUCUAGAUGAUCACAUCUGACUUUGUCAUUUAAAUGAGGUGGACUUGCAAACUUUGCACUCUUUUGGAUUUCAAGACAGAGCUUAUUGUUCUCUGAACUUCCUUGUUCGCUGAACGGCAGGUAAAGUGCAUCUUUUUGCUUGUUUGCUUUUGUGUGUUUGUGUUUUCUCUAAUGGGCCUCAGAUGACUGUUUGCUUAAAUUUGGGUCUCAAAGAAUCUUUUUUUUUAUUCUGCCUGUACUCUCCACCCUCUUCUUCUAUUGCUCAGGUUGAAGCAGAAUUUGCCCGUCUUACAUCUGUUGACCUGAAAGGGUUCCUUUUUGCUGUGCUUGACCAUUAUGGAGAGGUUCGUGGAGCUGUACAAAAUCAAGAGUGGCAUAGGAGGGCUAACUAGGCUCAUAAGAUGCUUCGGAGAUGAUAGCCCUACACAAAGGAAGAGGACAGAGGACCUAAUUUUCUAAAGGAAGAUCCCUCACACACUUUCAAGACUGUGAAGCCGACAGGUAUUGAAGACACGUUUUCUAAGAGGAUGAAAGUUGGCAUUGCGAUGGUGAAAGAAGAAGACAUCAUCGAUGUGUUGGUUGUCCUUGAGGUGGCAGUAAUCCUGUCUAAUCUGAGGGAUGUCUCAAGUGCCAUUUCCAUGCUGAUGGGCCUUCUUUUUGCCCUCAACAUAGACUAUCCAAAGGAACUUAAGGACAUCUUUGAAGUCAUUCAGAACAUCCUAAUGAACAUUGGUGGAAGGCAGUGUGUCUCACUAGUGCAUGGUCUAAGAAACAGACUCUUGCAGAAAGCCAUGCAGAACUGUAAUUGUAUGUUCCUUAGUGUUAAGGACAGUUUUUAUUUUACUGUUUGUUUUUUUAUUCUUGCAUGUUCUCAUUCUCACUUUUGUAUGUCACUAAAUGACUACACUUUACAUUCCAGAUUAGACAAUUACUCAUUUGUUCAUGGUUUAAGAAACUUAUGUGAACAACAAUAUAAUGCUGAACUUUGCAGAUGCUUAUCUCAUGCAAGUCAGUAGUUUUUCCUUUGUUUUGCAAUUGAGCAGACUCAAACUGAUGUUUCUGAAAUAUCCAUAUUAUCAAAUGUUUCAGAAGCAUGCACUCAUUUUCAGAGAUAUUGGUUCUGUGGAAUUUGUUGCAAUUGUAAACGAAGACAAAUACAAGAGUUUGAUGUCUUACUUGUUAUAAACUGA